AGGCUGGCUCUGGGGCAGAGAGGUCUUGCAAAGGACUAUUGACAUAAAGGAUCCAUUGGAUGUUCGUCGCUUUAUAUUUGAGAUGAUAUAAAAGAUCGUAGAAUGCAAGUAAGAAGAAUGAAAAGAAUAACAUUUAAUGAUGCCACUGUGAUCACUCUAUCCGUCAGCCGAGUCAAGAAUAGCAUUAAUGGUGUCAUUGCUGGAGAACUUCCAGUGUGUUUUAUGGUACCACGAAACAAAAUCACAUGU